CGGACCUCAGAUCAGGCAAGACCACCCGCUGAGUUUAA
rnacentral:rRNA from 1 species